AAAGGGAGACCUAAUUCAGGUAAAAGACGAAAAAAAAGUAGUCGCUACCAAGAAUCAAUCCCAAAAGGUCGGAGCGAGGCAAAAUUGGCUUUCAAACUAGGUUCUGGGUUCACACAAGACCUGAAUCAGGAACAAGGGCUAUUAGCUCAGGUGGUUAGAGCGCACCCCUGAUAAGGGUGAGGUCCCUGGUUCGAGUCCAGGAUGGCCCACCUGCACAGGUGGCAAAAACAAGAGAAGCUCCGAAUCAGCACCUUAUCUUACUGACAUAGUAAGAGAGAAUGCUGGCUCUGAGUAAAGAGUCCAGAGGAACCUUGAAAACUGCAUAGAGCUAGGUGAAAAAGCCAAAAAAGAAGACCGCAAG
rnacentral:tRNA from 1 species